GAAACAUGAAGGCAGCACGAGGCUGUGGAAUCGCUGGAGGCGUUGACCAACGGUGCAAGCCAAGCUAGUGUGGAUACAUAAAAUUUACAACCGUACAGGGUCAUGGUUAUUAGGAAGACUGACCUGAUUUCCUGACGUUGGAAGACGCUAAGAUCUGAUGAUGCCUGUAAAGAAGGUGAUGUGGCUGCUGUCCAAGGGGCUAAAGGCUUCCCAGGGUUCGGGACAGGAGGAAGCCCUGGCAGCACUACAUGGAGCAGGGGCAGCUGUCUCUGGUCCUCCACUACCCCUCCAGGCAACAUUGUUUUGCGAUAUGGUGGCGGCCGCGUUGUCCCUGAGGGAUGGAAGGGAAAAGAGCCCGGAUAAGCAGCAGGGAUGUGGCGGUGGGAAGUUUGUUAAACUAUAAUUAUUUACCCUAUAUAACUUCCCAUGGAUUCCAUUCUAAAGUGCGUAAUCUUUUCCUGAACUAUGGAGCCUGGGCAGGUGAAAGCAAUAGGGCAGAAAACUCACCAUUUGACCAGUGAAAUUACAAAGGAAGGGUUGAAUGAUGUGGCUUGCAGUGUGUGGACUGAACCUUUGUUUAACCUAAGAGUUACAACUGUGUAAAAAGCAAGUGGGGUUUUGCAUGUGGCUGAUGUAAAUGCCUAAACCUACUUUCUAUUUGCAUGUUUAUUUCUAAAACUGAUUGUUCAAGACAAUAAAUGACUGCUGCA